GGAGCGGUUCCGAGCAUGCGUGAGAGCGCCUGGGGCGUUUACGAUGGAGGUGAUGCUUAAGGGCACUCCCGAGGCUACAGUCCCCAACCUCCCACACAGCCAGGUAGGACCACAAGAACUGGGUACGAGCCAGUGCGAUGAGGCCAGAAGUGAUGUACCCAAUUCCAGGCCUGCCUUUCUCUGGAGUGAUACUGGAACCAGAGGAGGGGAGGUUCCAGAAUCCCUGCAGCACCACUUGGAACAGAGCGGCUCAACCAGGAAAACCCACUUGGGAGAAAUAAAAUAUCAGUUUUAUUGA